rnacentral:rRNA from 1 species
UUGAACGCUGGCGGCAGGCCUAACACAUGCAAGUCGAGCGGUAGCACAGAGAGCUUGCUCUCGGGUGACGAGCGGCGGACGGGUGAGUAAUGUCUGGGAAACUGCCUGAUGGAGGGGGAUAACUACUGGAAACGGUAGCUAAUACCGCAUAAUGUCGCAAGACCAAAGUGGGGGACCUUCGGGCCUCAUGCCAUCAGAUGUGCCCAGAUGGGAUUAGCUAGUAGGUGGGGUAACGGCUCACCUAGGCGACGAUCCCUAGCUGGUCUGAGAGGAUGACCAGCCACACUGGAACUGAGACACGGUCCAGACUCCUACGGGAGGCAGCAGUGGGGAAUAUUGCACAAUGGGCGCAAGCCUGAUGCAGCCAUGCCGCGUGUGUGAAGAAGGCCUUCGGGUUGUAAAGCACUUUCAGCGGGGAGGAAGGCGGUGAGGUUAAUAACCUCAUCGAUUGACGUUACCCGCAGAAGAAGCACCGGCUAACUCCGUGCCAGCAGCCGCGGUAAUACGGAGGGUGCAAGCGUUAAUCGGAAUUACUGGGCGUAAAGCGCACGCAGGCGGUCUGUCAAGUCGGAUGUGAAAUCCCCGGGCUCAACCUGGGAACUGCAUUCGAAACUGGCAGGCUAGAGUCUUGUAGAGGGGGGUAGAAUUCCAGGUGUAGCGGUGAAAUGCGUAGAGAUCUGGAGGAAUACCGGUGGCGAAGGCGGCCCCCUGGACAAAGACUGACGCUCAGGUGCGAAAGCGUGGGGAGCAAACAGGAUUAGAUACCCUGGUAGUCCACGCCGUAAACGAUGUCGAUUUGGAGGUUGUGCCCUUGAGGCGUGGCUUCCGGAGCUAACGCGUUAAAUCGACCGCCUGGGGAGUACGGCCGCAAGGUUAAAACUCAAAUGAAUUGACGGGGGCCCGCACAAGCGGUGGAGCAUGUGGUUUAAUUCGAUGCAACGCGAAGAACCUUACCUGGUCUUGACAUCCACAGAUCUUUCCAGAGAUGGAUUGGUGCCUUCGGGAACUGUGGGACAGGUGCUGCAUGGCUGUCGUCAGCUCGUGUUGUGAAAUGUUGGGUUAAGUCCCGCAACGAGCGCAACCCUUAUCCUUUGUUGCCAGCGGUUAGGCCGGGAACUCAAAGGAGACUGCCAGUGAUAAACUGGAGGAAGGUGGGGAUGACGUCAAGUCAUCAUGGCCCUUACGACCAGGGCUACACACGUGCUACAAUGGCAUAUACAAAGAGAAGCGACCUCGCGAGAGCAAGCGGACCUCAUAAAGUAUGUCGUAGUCCGGAUUGGAGUCUGCAACUCGACUCCAUGAAGUCGGAAUCGCUAGUAAUCGUAGAUCAGAAUGCUACGGUGAAUACGUUCCCGGGCCUUGUACACACCGCCCGUCACACCAUGGGAGUGGGUUGCAAAAGAAGUAGGUAGCUUAACCUUCGGGAGGGCGCUUACCACUUUGUGAUUCAUGACUGGGGUG